UCUAAGCGUGAAGCCCCCCUCAAGAUGAGAUAUCCCAUUCCUUCAAGGAAAUAAGAUCCCUUAAAGACGAUAAGGUAGAUAGGUUCAAGGUGUAAGUGCGGUAACGCAUUCAGCUGAUGAAUACUAAUAGAUCGAAGGUUUAUUCUA
rnacentral:rRNA from 1 species